rnacentral:rRNA from 1 species
GAUCAUGGCUCAGGAUGAACGCUGGCGGCGUGCUUAACACAUGCAAGUCGAGCGAAGCAAUUUAAGUGAAGUUUUCGGAUGGAUCUUAAAUUGACUGAGCGGCGGACGGGUGAGUAACGCGUGGAUAACCUGCCUCACACAGGGGGAGUAACAGUUAGAAAUGACUGCUAAUACCGCAUAAGCGCACAGUACCGCAUGGUACAGUGUGAAAAACUCCGGUGGUGUGAGAUGGA